rnacentral:hammerhead_ribozyme from 1 species
AUCCAGCUGAUAAAUCCCAAAUAGGACGAAACGCGCUUCAAACUGUAU